ensembl:lncRNA
GAAUUUAUGGUUUUAGCGAAAAAGACUUUUAUUCUGGUCUGGCGUUGUGACGUCAUAACGCUGCGCUACUGCGUCUGUGAUUCGGCUGAAGAAAGGACGAAGUGUCCAAACACUCCUGCUGAAGCAGCUGAGCUCCACGUGACUCUGUUAUAAAGAUGGCGUUUAUUAAAGUUGAGAGUGAAGACAUGAAGAUUGAAGAAGUAUUCAGUGUCAAACAAGAAGAUACUGAGACACAGACAGAGUCUCCUGAUAACAAGUCAGCGACAGAGGAUGUGCCAAACCCCAAAGAAACUUUCACCACCCACAAAAAUUACUGCUAUGUCUGCAAGAAACCUCAGUCUAAAAUUUCACGUCACUUCAAACAGCAUCAAAACAGUGAGACGGAAAUUGCUGCUGCAUUCUCUCUCCCUAAACACUCCCAGGACAGAAAACGGUUACUUGAGAAGCUACGAAACCGAGGCAACUACCAACACAAUCAAGAGGUUAUAGAAAGAAAAAGAGGACCACUGAAAAUAAGGAGGCGCACAGGAAGGUCAGAAAUCGAACUGAGUGCCAAAACAUUUGUGCAUUGUGUAUACUGUAAAGGCCUGUUUGUUCGCAAGGAGCUGUGGCGCCAUACACGGAGAUGCCCUUUAAAGAUGUCGGAAGCAACUGGCAAGGCCAAAGUAUUAGAUUUGGCUGAUAUUGCGGAGUCAAUAUUCUCCCAACCAAUAUCUCCUGACGUGUGGAAGAUCUUGGGAAAAAUGAAGAAUGAUGACAUUUCAUCAGUAGUUCGAAAUGAUUUCCUCAUACUUCAGUUGAGUCAGUGUCUUUACAACAAGCAUGGCAGUGAUCCAACAAAAUCUGAAUACAUCAGACAGAAGGCUCGAGAAAUGGGCCGACUCUUGCUAAAAUUGAGAAGAAAAUACUCCAUAUAUAGCUUUGAAGAUGCUGUGAAACUGAACAAUUUUUACAAAGUUGUUGAGGCUGUGAAAGAUGUUACUGGUUACGAUGAAAAGAGCCAUAUGUACAAGACACCAAGUCUUGCAUUGAAGUUAGGACAUUCACUUAACAAGAUUGGUGACAUUAUUCUCUGCAGGGCCAUCGCAGUAGAGGAUGAUGUUAUGACAAAAGCAACAGAGCAAUUCAAAAGAUUGUGCUCAAGUGAAUGGACAGGACAUGUCUCCAAUGCUGCUCUUGCUACUUUGAACAAAUCAAAGUUCAGCAAACCAUCUACUAUACCAUUCACACAGGACGUGCAGCUUCUCCAUCAGUACCUAGAGAAGAAAUCAGUUGAUGCUUUUGAAAGCCUGAAAAAUCAGGAGUCUUCACACACCUAUGCAGAACUUGCCAAAGUGGCACUUGCACAAGUAAUAAUAUUCAACAGACGUUGUGCAGGAGAAGUCUCAAAAAUGACGCUUGAUUGCUUUAAGAAAAGAAACCAGACUGAGCUCCACGAGGACAUAGCUCUCGGUCUCUCUCCAUUUGAACAAAAAAUGUCCAAGCAUUUCAGCAGAGUAGAAAUCCUGGGCAAGAAAGGGAGAAAAGUUGCUAUUUUGUUCAAUCCUGAACUCGUCAGAACCAUUAAACUUAUUGUGGAGAAGAGAGAUGUAUGUGAAGUAGACCGGGACAACCCCUUCCUAUUUGGAAGACCAAAGUGCUCACCCACCAGCUUCUUCAGGGGACAGGACUGCAUCAGGCUUUUUGCAAGUCAAUGUGGUGCGAAGAACCCAGAACAUCUCAGGUCUACACAGCUCCGCAAGCAAGUGGCAACAAUGUCCCAGAUUCUCAGUCUUAAGGAUAACGAGCUAAACCAACUUUCCAACUUUUUGGGCCAUGACAUUCGGGUCCAUAGAGACUAUUAUCGGUUGCCAGAUGCAACUAGAGAAAUUGCAAAAAUCUCAAAGCUGUUACUAGCAAUGGAAAAAGGAAAUCUUGCAAGAUUCCAAGGAAAAACUUUUGAUGAAAUUGAGAUUGAAGGUGUGUGA